rnacentral:tRNA from 1 species
GGCGGGGUAGCUCAGUUGGUUAGAGCACAGGAUUCAUAACCCUGAGGUCGGCGGUUCAAGCCCGCCUCCCGCUA